UCUACAUAAAUCAGACUAAAUAUUAUUUUACAUUCUACACUAUUAAAAACCAAAUGUCUACUUUUCACGGGACAUAUUCUCCUUUCCAUUUCUUCCCUUACCUCUCUUAUUUUUGUAAUCCUAAAAAAUCACACAAUAGAUUCACGGGAGAAAGAAAAUUGCAAAUGGAACAACAAAAAGAAGGGAUCACACAAUCUCUGAUAUAAGUCUCGUCAAGACUAGAGGAGGUUUAGCCACCCACCACCAAAAAGGCCAUAACUUGAGCUCUGAAUAUCGGAUUGACGCAUGUGAGCAGACGUUGGAAAGCUAAAAAUUAGAGCUACAACUUUUGUGUUGGAAUAAAAGCUCAAUGCCGAACUUUACUGGGCCUAAAUUGUAGAUUUCUUAAUCUGGACUUUUGUAAUAAUUUUAAAUAGUGGGCCACUUAUUUUUAAAGCCCAAAAUCGAGUACUGUAUAUUGGGAAUUUCUUUCCUUUCUUAGGUAUUGGUAUUUUUCGGAUUAAAAUUCAAAAA